GGUGAUUAGUCAAUAAUAAAUUCAUUGAACAAGCUUAGAUCCACCGACGAAAAAUUGGAUCCCCUUUCUCCAUCAGUCAACCCCCUCCAUUUAUCGUAUAAAUCAACCAAAAUCCCCAUUUUUUUAGCCAUAAAUCAAUCACCAAACUUCUCUGUAUUUCACCAACGAAAUUCUUAACAAUGGCAGCCGCUUCGCCAACACCAGUUCUUCCAAUUUCCAACCCCCAAACCACCUCCACAACCGUCGCCACCACCGAUACCCAACAAACCGUCACCGGUGUGGGUCCUACCCCGGCUCUCCGUGCAUUCAUCAACCGCAUCUCUGAAACCGUCCAAGGUGGUCUCUCCAAUCGCCGUCCAUGGGCUGAACUCGUUGAUCGUUCUGCCUUCGCUAAACCCGAAUCUGUUUCCGAUGCUACCCUUCGUAUCCGCAAAAACUACUCCUAUUUCCGUACCAAUUACCUUUCUCUCCUCGCCGUUGUCCUCGCUUUCAGUCUCAUCACAAACCCAUUUUCCCUCAUUCUUCUCACCGGUCUCCUCGCUGCUUGGCUUUUUCUUUACCUUUUCCGUCCAUCAGAUCCGCCUUUGGUUCUAUUUGGU
rnacentral:misc_RNA from 1 species